AUGCUCCAGCUUCAUAGACGGGAAGGACAGGCCCAAGGCCCAAGGCAGGCCCAGCUCCAACACUGCAGCCCCCUUUUCACAGAAUUAAACCCACCAGAACAACUCCCAAACUGUCUGUCUCCAACCUGUUCCCUCGCCCUGAAUUCCAGCCUCACGUCUCCAACUGCGUCCUUGACGUUUUCGCUCGGAUGGCUGAUGGCUGCGGCAGGCUUAACACAUCCCGGCCCCUGCCAAGCCACCAUUCCACGCCCACACUCCAACCCGCUCCGACUGAGGCUGUCCCGUCUCCACCAACAGCAACUCCAGCCUCCACCUGUUCCGGCCGAAAGACCUGGGCUUCUCCCUGACACCGCUCUGUCCCUCACGCCCACGUCCAAUCUGCCCAAGGCCCCUGCAGCCCCGCCCAGAGUCCAGCCCUUCCUGCCUCCAACACCCUUGCGUGGCCACCGUCAUCUCCCAGCGGGAUUCCCUCAGAAGCCUCCUGCAGGUCUCCUUGCCCCGCCCCUGCCCCACCCGUACUGUUCUCCAACACGGCAGCAGGAGCUUCAACACCGAAAUCAGCCCACGUCACUCACCCUCCAUCGGCUGCCCACUCGGAGGGGAGCCUCUGUCCUCACCGUGGCCCAAGGCCUCGCCUGGAACUGCCCACUCACCAAGCCCUCACCUCCACGCCCUCACUGCGACCACCCCAGCUCCUCCUGUCUCCCGGGGCCAGGCAGGUUCCCGCCUCUGAGCCUCUGCACUUGCUGUUCCCACUGCCUUGAAUGCUCUUCUCCGAAACAUCCUGCAGCAACCCCUCAUCUCCUCUGGGUCUUCGCUCUGUCCUCCUUGGUUAGCUCCUCCAGGCGCCCACUUCGACACUGCUCUCCUUCCCCCCUCCCCCUCGAAGACGCGCUGCCCGAGUGUAGCUGUGGUUAUCGUUGCCAUCUCCUCCUCUGUGUGAGCUCCCGGAGAGCAGGGGGCUGCCAUCCCUGUGCACUGUCAUACCUUGUGCCCAGCACAGCCACCGACCAGCAUGGGCGUUCGCUAAAUAAAGAAUGA
rnacentral:lncRNA from 1 species